rnacentral:lncRNA from 13 species
CACCUUCUCCUCUAAAUGUAGAAAAUAAUACUAAAUUAAAUAUAUUUGCUUGAUAUAAAAUUUUUUUUCAGUGUAACUAUUAAAUAGUCUAUUGCUGUCUAUAUUGCAGACAGUAUUACAAAAGAAACUGAAAAAAACUUGCUUCAUAAUCCGACAAGACUUUAUUAUAUUCAAAAAAAGUACUUUAAUAAAGCAGCUGGAUUUCAAACGCUUUUAAUCUCUCGUUCUUCGAAAUAAAAAAUGAAAUGCAAUAAGAAAAUAAAAACUUGUAAAAUUGCUCCACACGUUCAUUGUUACAUUCGAAAAAGUUAAGACUUUUCCGAAAUAUUCUCGUUUUUCAACCGUACGGCUGCAGAGAGAGAUUUACUGAUGCUGCACAUUUUCAAUUUCGACGCUUCACAUUGGCAUUGUCAUUCGCAACAAACGAUAGAGGAACGAGAUUUCGAGAUUGGGCAAGCGUAUACGACAGCGUAUACGAGAAGACUUUCAUAUUCGAUCGACUUCGACAAGCGGAAAAUAUUUGUCACUUGUUUAUAUGUCCCGCGUAUAGAACAUGGCCCGUUGACUUCUGUUCUCUAUUCUUUUUGCCGAUUCUCCGAUAUUUCCACGUUCAAGAGUUAGUAACAUGAUAAGACAUGAUGCAAUCGUUGAAGAAGAUUGCUAUCGAGGAACUGCCAGGAAAUAUUUCGCCAAUUUCGAGAUUUACACAAAUUAAGAAUUAAAAUAAGAGAAACGAAAAAGUGAAAUUGCAGAUUUAAAGAAACUUGCGCUUGCUCAGUUUUACAAACAUCCGCAUUAGAACUAACGCUCUAGCUUAAAGUAAUUCUAAUACGUAGCUAUGAUAAAUCACGAAAGACGGUACAUGCGAAAACGACGGGCGCUACAUAUGGGUAUUCGUUUCAGUUACUAUGGAAAUGAGCAUACGGAAUCAAGCGCGAUCUCUCGCCAUUGCGCUUCCCCGGAGAAAUUUCGUCCCGGCGGAAAUUUCUCCCUGCUGCGCGAGAGAUACUGGGGAGAGAUUGCCAUAAGUUCUCGACACGGCGCGCGCGAAAGCAGGUGUCGUAUAUAGUAUCGGAAAAAUACUUUGCGCAAAUAUACACCGAACAGUUCGGAAAAUCUGGCGCGCGAAUGUCCCUGACGUGUCGUCGAUUUAAGUUGAGUGCCCACUCGAGAAUUUUACUCUCGAGUGCAACUCCCGAUAAUGAGAAUCUCCGAUGGUGAAAAGUGAGAAUCGUUUUCCUAUCUAUCAUCGAACAGUUUCACUUGCGCGGCGGUGCGAUCCGAUUUUUGCUUAGAGAUGAAUACUUUGAAUUUUUUUUGUUACACACGUAUAAAACGGACUACCUGUCUUUCUUCGAAAGAAUUGAUUUAACUUUAUCAAGUUGAAAAUUAAUUUUCCGAUACGCGCUGAAUAUUGCAAUUAUCGCUGACAAUCGGGACACAUUAGGAUUUCGAUAUUCGAUUUUGUAAUGUGACAAGACGAACAGAAAGGCAUCUCUUUCGUUUCAAUAUUCAUUGUGCGAUGAAGCUCGACGUUCACCAGCGUCUAGAAAAACACGAUUGCGACUUUGAAUCGAAGAAAUUGAUCAAAGAAAAUCAUGAAAUGUCGCGACGCAUGAGAGUACGAAUAAAAUAGUGACGAUGACAGAAAUGACGCAAGAAAUAAUAGAAAUUUCAUAUUGCAGAUGGAUGAUGCAUUACUGCAUAUUAUUAAAUAUAUUUAUAAUAAUGGCAUUAUUAUUAAGUCACGUUCGGUAUCGUAUUGUCAUAAUACGGUGUAUUGACAUGAUGUUAUAAUAAUACAAUAUUAAAAUGUAUCAACAUAUGAAUCAAUAUAUUAUUACAUAUAUGACAAUAAUAUGUACAAUGAUAAUAUAAUAAUAAUCAAAUUGAUGGUAUUAAAGGAAAAUAUGUUAUGGCGAGAUUUAUCGAAUAGUUUAACAGUGAAUAUCAACUCAAAUAGUAUUUUUUAAAAAUUAGACGAAUACGUAAUUGAUUCGAAUUGAUCAAGAAAAACCUAGUUAUUUUACAAAAGAGCAUAAUAAUAAAUCAUUCAAAAUUGUUCAACUUCUGGCAAAAUAUUAAAAUUUAUUAAAAUAAAUCCACAAAGGACACGACAUGUCAGAUAUGUCCUCUACUCGAUAUAAUCAACGCAAUUAGAUUUAGUCGAAUGAUUUAUGUAUUUGGUAUUAUGUCUUGACUUAUAUAUUUAUGCAAACAUAUCGGGAGAUCCUAUGCCAAGCGAUAAGUCAAGAGCGGAUGAUCUGUGUUGCAUCAUCUCUGAACCGUAAGACAAACGGCAGUGGUGUGAAGUCUCCGCAGUAGCGUUUCCGAGUAAACGUAAUAUAUAGUUCUGUUUUGUGCGCGCUUGGUGUGUUUAUGAUUGAGAUCUCUUCGUAUUAAAUAUAUCAAGUAUAAUUGUCGCACUAAAAACUGCAAACAGAUGUAACGUUUUAUUAAGUAUCGAUGAAAGAAAAAUAUCUUUACUUGCAACAAAAAUGUUGAUUAAUUCGUUCAUUUCCUUAAAUUAUUAUUUUUUAAUGUCUUUAUGACUCGGUUGUUACAGCGACAUGUCUAUCGCUUCGCGAGUGUUUCAAUGCCGAAUGACGCAAGAGCUUUUUGAAAUAUAGUUACAAAUGAAACGGACACUUGCUGACGCUUGACCUAUAAAACACGAUCCCGAUCUAGGUUACCAAAUAUGAUGAAAGAAAAUGCGGUCUGCCAAAGGUACAUAUCGACCUCGGCGUGGUAAAGGGAAAAAGACGAAGAGAAAUAGCGAGGUGCGUGCACACACUGUGAAGGAAGAAUACCCAGAAAGCAAAAUCUUACAAAAGAGAAAGGUUUCUUUACAUUAAGAAAGGAGAAAUGAAAAACCAGUAAAGAAAGAGAAUAGAAAAAGAGUUGCAGAUACAAAUAGAAACGCAGAAAUGCAGAAAGUCACGCCAUAUAAAAACAUCGAAAUAGGAUAGAAAAAAAGGAAAAAAAAGGAGAAAGAAAUUUAUUGUGGAAAAAUUCGUUUUUCUUGGACAAAUCAUACAAGAUGCAUUUAAAAAUAUAAACGAAGUUAAAAAUAAUAAAUACAGGAACGAAAAAUAGGAACGGGUAUGUUGCAUAAAUAACAAGACGUGAAGAGAAGCUCGAGAGCUUCAAGAGCCACGAAGGGAGAAGAAACAAAAAGAGAAACGGGGAAAAAAGAAACAAACACUCUCGGGAGAGAAGGAGAGUAGCGAACUCUGAGAUGUCGGGGAAAGAGAGACAGUGACGUAAUAUUGGAAGAGAAUAGACGUAAUGACACAGGGAAAGCGAGAAGAGGCGAAAGAGAGACGAACGUAGACUACUAAAGCGUGGAUAGAGCGGAGUCUCUAGAGCGAGGAGAGGGAUUCGUAUGGCUGCUGGCACCAGGCAGUCUACUACGCUCAACUCGGUAUUCCCUCGAGCAAUGCCAGGCCUCUGCCAGUGAGCCCAAGAUUACGACUCGGUACUUGACUCGCGCUCGCGCGAGUAUUGCAUGCGUGCACGCGUGCGUGCGUAUACGCGUUUUCGAAUCGCGCAAGUCGAAGUGACGAGUGUGCGUGAAUAGUGGGAAGGUACUUCGCACGAUCCUCGAUGGCGAUAGAUUUAGUGAUAGACAAACUCUGAGCGAUCGUAACUUGGGACUGCAACUACCGAGAUAAUCCCACUCAAAUCGUUCCUUGAAGCUUUAUAGAUAUGAGUAAUCGUGAAAAUAUUGUAAAACUUAUAAUUAGUUCCUAUUGUAAAACUAGGAAUUAAUAUAUAAAAAUUGAAUUUUGUUCUCCGCUUUGCUAAUUAAAGAAAGAAUUACGUUAAUUGUGCUGUCAACUGUGUCCAAAUAUAAUUACAUUAUUUCGAUAGUUUCUCUUAAGGAUACACUGAACAGAAAUAUUUUUUAAAUUGCACACAUUAUGAUUGGCAUUACGAAAUAUUUUAAUAAUUCAACUGAAAUGUGUAGGUGCAAUUCAUUCGCUUUGACUGAAAACAGUAUUCUCUUCUCUAUAAUAUGUUUAACAAAUAUCAAAUAGUGCAAACCGAUUUGAAAAUUGUCCUAAUAUCAGGAUGUCUCAAUGUUUGUAUAAUCCUUUGAAAUGAAAUCCUUUACAAUUUACAAAUUAAUGUUCAUCCCGAUUUAAUGUGAAAAUUAAUAAACCAAACAAUACGAUAUCUAA